UAAAACAGAAGUACACAAAAUAUCCACGCUCCAACUGACCUUCAUUUUGGAGAACAUGUGGAUGGGUUUGUCCAAAGAGCCGUCAAGGCUGCACUUACCGAAUGCCACUUUCCCUAUCUCCACCAGUACAGGAGGGGCAGUCAGUGACCCGGCAGGUCUGGCCGCUCUUGUACUCCAUUGCUGCUUGAUGCUGAGUACUGAAAGAGAACAGGACAGAAGCUGUACGCAACAGAAAUACAUCUGGAGGAAAAUCCCAACAUGGAGAUUUUACGUGCUAACGGCACAUGAAGGUAAGGCCUUUCAUUAUCAUGUAUAUGUGUGUGUGUGUCUGUGCGUGUGCGUGUGUGUGUCUGUGUGUGUGUGUGUGUGUGUGUGUGUGUGUGUGUG